rnacentral:ncRNA from 1 species
GAAAGAUGAAAAGAACUCUGAAGAGAGAGUUCAACAGUACGUGAAAUUGCUGAAAGGGAAACGCUUGAAACGAUUGUUGCUUUUGGUUUCGGCCUUGAGCGAGUCAGCAGCAGUUUUAAACGGUAAAGAAGUGCUUGUGGAAGGUAGUUUUCUUUGGAAAAUGUUAUAGCCAUAAGUAACUGUGCCGGUUAGGACUGAGGAUCGCUUUUAAGUGUCUUGUCGAGGAAUUUUG